rnacentral:rRNA from 1 species
AACGAACGCUGGCGGCAUGCCUAACACAUGCAAGUCGAACGAGACCUUCGGGUCUAGUGGCGCACGGGUGCGUAACGCGUGGGAACCUGCCCUUAGGUUCGGAAUAACUCCCCGACAGGGGUGCUAAUACCGGGUAAUGUCUUCGGACCACAGAUUUAUCGCCCUUGUAUGGGCCCGCGUUUUAUUAGCUAGUGGGUAGGGUACAAGCCUACCAAGGCGACGAUCGGUAGCUGGUCUGAGAGGAUGAUCAGCCACACUGGGACGGAGAGACGGUCCAGACCCCUGGGGCAGGGAGCAGGGCCGAAUAUCGGACGGGGGGCGCAAGGGGGAAAAAUGGACACAGGGCGGAAGCCUGAUGCCGCCGUGCCGUGUAGGUGGUUUAGGGCGUAGGGUUGUAAAGCUCUUUUACCCGGGAUGAUAAUGACAGUACCGGGAGAAUAAGCUCCGGCUAACUCCGU